rnacentral:tRNA from 1 species
UCAAAAUGCAAAUUUGAAGAAGCGCAGAGAGAGCGCCGGGGCUUCUCCCGUUU